rnacentral:misc_RNA from 1 species
GAUGAAGAACGUAGUAAAAUGCGAUACUUGGUGUGAAUUGCAGAAUCCCGUGAACCAUCGAGUUUUUGAACGCAAGUUGCGCCCGAAGCCUUUUGGCCGAGGGCACGUCUGCCUGGGCAUCACGCAUCGCGUCGCCCCCCACAAAUUCUCCUCAGGGGAGCUUGUGUUUCGGGGGCGGAUACUGGUCUCCCGUGCUCAUGGCGCGGUUGGCCGAAAUAGGAGUCCCUUCGAUGGACGCACGAACUAGUGGUGGUCGUAAAAACCCUCGUCUUUUGUUUCGUGCCGUUAGUCGCGAGGGAAGCUCUUCAAACACCCCAGCGCGUCGUCUCUUGACGGCGCUUCGACCGCGACCCCAGGUCAGGCGGGACUACCCGCUGAGUUUAAGCAUAUCAAUAAGCGGAGGA